rnacentral:rRNA from 1 species
AUGGCUGUUCGAGUAAAUGCUACAGACGACAUUCAAUGGGCUAAAGACACUCCAUAUCACUAUAUGGAUCUCAGAUUUUCUAUGAUACUAAAUGACUCUACACAAGAUCCAAAACUCCGUUUACCAUUUGAUGCCCAACGCUACAUUAUUGCAAAACUAUUUCAUCGUUGGCCUGAUAUGUGCUUUGACGUCUCGGUGUGCAAGUUGGUAAUCAUACUUCCCAUCUCUGUGUGUGCUUUUCACCCGUAUUUUAUUUCUAAAGCCUACUUCACACAGAUUUUGUUGCCGUUUUGUACAACCGGUCGCUUCAUCCUCUUCCUGUUCGACCUAUUGGAUAGAACAAUCACUAUACUCGACCCUCUUCCCCUAUCGGAUGCAUGGAAAAAGAAUCCUUCACAGAAGGACAUACUUAAGAUUCAAUGUAUUUCAUUCCAUCUAAACAUAGCAUUACAAGAUGCAAUUCCUGGCUGGAAUGAUGAUGUUUUUAGAUGGCGUCGCAUCAUACCACUUGGAGUUCCAAAAAACCCAAACAGGUUAUAA